rnacentral:rRNA from 1 species
AGAGUUUGAUCAUGGCUCAGAAUGAACGCUGGCGGCGUGCCUAACACAUGCAAGUCGGAUGUGCCGCAAGGUGCAUGGCAGACGGGUGAGUAACGCGUGGGGAACCUACCUCUUUGUGGGGAAUAACGUUCCGAAAGGAAUGGUAAUACCGCAUGAGACCGAUGGCUGGGAUGCUGUCGGUGAAACCCGGGGACCGCAAGGCCUGGGGCAAGGAGAGGGUCCUGCGUCUGAUUAGCUAGUUGGUGAGGUAACGGCCCACCAAGGCAUCGAUCAGUAGCCGGCCUGAGAGGGUGAUCGGCCACACUGGAACUGAGACACGGUCCAGACUCCUACGGGAGGCAGCAGUGGGGAAUUUUGCGCAAUGGGCGAAAGCCUGACGCAGCAACGCCGCGUGGGUGAUGAAGGUCUUCGGAUCGUAAAACCCUGUCGUCAGGGACGAAGGUUGUAUGCCUAACAGGUGUGCAGCUUGACGGUACCUGGAGAGGAAGCCCCGGCUAACUCUGUGCCAGCAGCCGCGGUAAUACAGAGGGGGCAGGCGUUAUUCGGAAUUAUUGGGCGUAAAGGGCGCGUA